rnacentral:rRNA from 1 species
CCUACGGGAGGCAGCAGUGGGGAAUAUUGGACAAUGGGCGAAAGCCUGAUCCAGCCAUGCCGCGUGUGUGAAGAAGGUCUUCGGAUUGUAAAGCACUUUAAGGUGGGAGGAAGGGUUGUAGAUUAAUACUCUGCAAUUUUGACGUUACCGCCAGAAUAAGCACCGGCUAACUCUGUGCCUGCAGCCGCGGUAAUACAGAGGGUGCAAGCGUUAAUCGGAAUUACUGGGCGUAAAGCGCGCGUAGGUGGUUUGUUAAGUCGGAUGUGAAAUCCCCGGGCUCAACCUGGGAACUGCAUCCGAAACUGGCAAGCUAGAGUAUGGUAGAGGGUAGUGGAAUUUCCUGUGUAGCGGUGAAAUGCGUAGAUAUAGGAAGGAACACCAGUGGCGAAGGCGACUACCUGGACUGAUACUGACACUGAGGUGCGAAAGCGUGGGGAGCAAACAGGAUUAGACUACCCGUGGUAGUCCGACGACCGUAACGACUAGUCACUACGUACGUCGGUAGGCGUCGUAGCUCUUAGUGG